GUGCUCACUUGGGCAGCACAUAUAUUAAAAUUGGAACAAUACAGAGAUUAGCAUGGCCCCUGCACAAAGAUGACACACAAAUUCGUGAAGCGUUUCAUAUUUUU
rnacentral:snRNA from 1 species